CGUGAACUGGUCAACGCUGGUUAUAUUUAUGUUUAAGUUGCUAAAAUCACAACUUCAUUGUUUGUAGAGAGAGACGCACAGACACAGAUCCCCAAACAACAAUGCUAUUUAUAUAUAGUAUUGUUGAUUCAAGUCAAGGCACCAGACGCCUCCAGGACUUGCAGGGCUGCAAGACGCCAAAGCCUGAAUGAACUGAUGGAAAGGCCAAUCUUGUCAGCCUCCGAGACGCAAAGCUGACUGAAGACAGAAAACAACAGGGUGGCCGUGACAAGAGUUGUUUCUGAGAUGUGCAAAGUUUUGAAGUGAAGAAAAUAUAAACCUGAAGUCCAUCCUUGCAGCGAGUCCCUUCAUAAACACUACCACAUCCUCCUUCACCCAACUUGCAGCCGACUGUAUACUUGCAAAUGUGGCCUAAUAACAGACAAACAAUUGUGGAUGUCCUGCACAAGCCGUUCCUCAGCAGUGAGGAGGACUUCCUCCGUUCUCUCUCCAUCAGUCUCAGCAGCUCCAGCAGGCUCCUCAUCAGGUGGAUUAGGAUGAUGGCUGCCUGACCUUGAGAGUCAUAUGUUCCAGCACUGCAGCAAGGAAAGUGAAGAGUGGGCCACUUCCAGAAGCUCUUCUUCUUCUUCUCCGUUCUCUCUCCAUCAGUCUCAGCAGCUCCAGCAGGAGCCUCAUCAGGUGGAUUAGGUUGACGGUUCUCUGCCAUGAUGGGGGAAAGUACAGAGGGACAUCCUGUUUCUGCUGUUCCUCAACAGCGGGGAGGACUUCAAGAGCUGGAGCUAUAAUAUGAAUUCAAUAAAAAAUAAUAUAAGUAAAAUAUUAA